CCUACGGGAGGCAGCAGUGAGGAAUAUUGGUCAAUGGACGAGAGUCUGAACCAGCCAAGUAGCGUGAAGGAUGACUGCCCUAGGGGUUGUAAACUUCUUUUAUAAAGGAAUAAAACGAGGCACGUGUGCCUUUUUGCAUGUACGUUAUGAAUAAGGAACGGCUAACUCCGUGCCAGCAGCCGCGGUAAUACGGAGGAGACGAGCGGUAUCCGGAUUUAGUGGGUGUAAAGGGAGCGUAGAUGGGUUGUUAAGUCAGUUGUGAAAGUUUGCGGCUCAACCGUAAAAUUGCAAUUGAUACUGGCAGUCUUGAGUAUAGUUGAGGUAGGCGGAAUUCGUGGUGUAGCGGUGAAAUGCUUAGAUAUCACGAAGAACCUCGAUUGCGAAGGCAGCUUACUAAACUGUGACUGACAUUGAUGCUCGAAAGUGUGGGUAUCAAACAGGAUUAGAUACCCGAGUAGUC
rnacentral:rRNA from 1 species